CCACCUCCAUCCAAAAUAAAACGUGUGCCGAGGACCAAUUGUUGCUUUUGCAACUUAGUUCUGAACAAGAAGAACAUCAAACUGCACAUAAGAAGGCGGCACUCCUCUAGGGCACCUGACAUAAAUCAGGAAAGGCAUCUUGCCUCUGUGUGUGUGGACCACCUGAAAGGAAUUUUUGUGGUAAGGAGAAGCUUCACUGGACCAGCGAACCCAGUCCAUGUACAAAGAUGCACAUGGGGAGUGGAGCAUCGUGUGGUCUGUGAAUUGGAGGAGUGCAAAAGGGCGUUGCAGUUUGCAGCGAGAAGUGGGAUUGCAGGUUUCCAGUGCGUCCAUUUAAAAUCACGUCACGUACUGCCCAGUGUCAAAGUCCAACGACACGGUUCUGGAGGAAAAUGUGCUAAAUGACAUGGUGGGGAAAAAAUGGUUUUCCUCCAGCACGAAGAGAACCUGUCUGGAGAGACAAGCUGUAGCUCGUGCUUCCUCAUCCCCUCUGAGCACAGUUGUGCAAAUGGACAAUGACCGUAAAAUAUACCUGUCCGUCCAUGAGCCGAGAACAACUUACUUCUCCAGGUUGGGCAGAGUCUUGGUAUGCUAUGACCCACAUAAAAACACGUGGCACUGCCCAUGUUCCACACCCAGGAUGCCAUGCCCGCACAAGGCAAUUGGUAAGUGGCACUUAAACCAAAGUCAUCCAAGCCUUUUCCAGAGAAUUCGGAGCACAGACCAAGACGCAGCCAUACACACAGACAUUGGCCCUGCACCAGAGGGCAACAGCUGUCCUACAGAGGAAAAGGCAUUGCUCAGGCAGAUGUAGCCACAUUCCACAGAGUGUGGUGUCUGUGGUAAUCUGUACAGAUACCAGGAAUGGAGUGAGGGGCUCCACAACUUCAACGACCACGUUAUUCUGUCGCUCCAUCUCUGCAUCUUGCUGCGGCAGUCUUUACAAAAUCACACUGCGGUUGGCAGGCAGCUGGACAUUUUGGAGGCAACCCACCAAACCAAGUAUGCCAGCCACGACUCCAUUUUACACGGCUAUUUACACUUCGAAGCCCUGUCAUCCCACGAUCACAACUUUUCAUGUGUAAAUUGUGGGGACCACCCAGCUGUCGUUGUGAUGGACUUACACAAGAAGGGUGUUUUCAAAAUGGCAGGUAUGUGUUGGUUUUCUACUUCACGCAAUGUAAAUUCCCAAUUCUGUUCUUUUUAUGAGAAAGGGAUGUGUUCCAGUGAGUGACAUCAAAGAUCCACCACCUGAUUUUAAUGGACGUGUCAACAUAGAAGAUUUCUGGAGUUCGGGCAGUGAGGAAAUUGUCUGCCGUGGCUUUUUGAAAAGCAACAGUAACAAUCCAUGCGGUGUAAAGCCAUCAUAUUUGAACUGGGCCCCAUGGAUUGGUCCACGAACAAGGGCCAGUGAUGUUGUGCUGAACACAGAGUACACAAAAGUGAAGCCGACAAAGCCUACCGACCAAGCAACCCUAGAUUUGGCAGAGGAUCACUUGGUGGACCAAUUGAUGAAAUUGAAGGCUGCUGACUUGUGGAAUUUGGUGAAGGGCUGUGGCUUGGAUGCGACCGGAUCAAAAAUGGACCUCCUGCUCCGCCUGAGGGAGGAGAUGAAGACACGGAGCAUGUAUGAUAAAGUAUUUGAAAAGGUUUGGGGAGCAUCUGGUAAGUUGCACUUACUUUUAGAGAAAAAGGGUUAUUUAUAAUGUGUGUAGUUGUACAUUAUUAUGCUAUUCCACUGCUAUAACACUGACCUUUUCUGUAACGUAUUUGCCAGGUGGUUGGGCGGUCAUCAUGUGCCCCUGUGGAAUUGUGAACGCAGUUAAAUUCAACCUCCGAGCCGAAAGUCCACGGGACUAUGCAGACAUGCUCCUUUCCUUCAGGCACUUCCCCAAUGUUGUAUGAUUUUGCCAGGGGGCUUGUGGCACACACAAACCUAAGGGAACCUGGAGACCUUCCAUUCCAACCGAACGAAGGGAGAGUAGCCGCAGCGACCCCUGAUAAUAUCUCCGCUGCCAAGAAAGGGGAGAUAAAGAUCAAUUUCCCUUGGCUGAUCCAGCAGAAGGUCCCCGCUGAUGCUGGUGGUCAUCCGGCCACUGGUUGCGCAGAGCACUACGCGUUAUACGACACGUUCCACCAGCAGAACACCAAGGAUGACCGGGACGCCCUGCGCCUCAUCAAGCUGGUGCCUGAGCUGUGUGGCUGGGUCAAUUCGCAGGUGGCAGAGCAGCUGUUUGCGGACAUGAAAAAGAACAACUAUUUCAUGAAUAUGAUCUCGGCAGUGGAGGCUUCUCCAUUGAGGAGAGGGAGGAAGAUCCUCCCUAACAUUGUUGAGAAUAAAAAAUGUAGAUGCCCAGACUAUUGUAAUGAAUUAAUGCCCUUAAAUAUGACUACUUUAUUGCCUUUGAAUAUAUAAUGUUCGUUUCCCUGGGUAAAGGGACAUUAGCACCCCCUAUCGCUUAUUGACAAUUACUUCAGGGAGGAAGGUCCUCCGUCGCCCUCCGUUGACUCCCAUUCAUUUCCCCGAAAGUACUGGCGGCCGGUGGAUAACAUGGGUUUCAAUGGGAGAGAGGAGGAAAGUCCUCCUCUGAGUGGGUGGGACCUUAAGGGGUCUGAUUCGCGCAAAAAUCUAUCCGUCUGCCUGUGAACCAAUAAGCAGGAUCCCUGGAUGUUGAGCAGCGUUGCCAGAUUGGUCAGAUUUCCCACCCAAUUGGGCUACUUUUAACCAUGUUAGGCUGGAAAAAUUAUCAUUCGGCGGGAAAUCUGCCCAAUCUGGCAACGCUGUCGAUAACAAACCCGGUCUGCAUUGCCGCGGUGCUCAGUCAGAGACGCAGAGCAAGUGAAAUCUGCGAUAGCGAGAUCCUAAAUGUACAAUGGAAACAUUGGAAACGGAGGACAUUGUUAACGUCUUAUUAAAAAAAGCAUUCAAUUCAUUGAGUUACAGUGCUAAGUUAGCGACCAAAGAAAGAGGUAGACCACUUCCCAAAAUCAAGGUGACCAGAAGUAAUGGCAACGUCAUUGUUGUGAGUGCUACAUGGUUUGCUAGGUACGCAUGGCUUACUGGUAGCAUUACAAGCAAUCGACUUUAUUGCUGGCCCUGUUUGCUUAUGAAUAAUAGCAAAUCUCCAACGUGGGCUGUUCAUGGUUUCACUGAUGUGGAAAAUCUUGAUAGGGCAACCAAACGCCACGACAAGUGUCAAGAUCACGUUGGUGAGCACCAACGUGAUCUUGACACCCGUCGAGAUCUAGGCCCAAUGAUAGGCCCAGAUUUUUUUAUUUACUUUUACAAAUCAAUAGUAGGCCUGAUUUGACUAAUAUGCUUUGCAUCCUUUCCUUCUCAAAUUACAGUGAUGCCACUGGUGGCUUUGUAUAAAUUGUAUUCACAUAACUCCCUCCCUGCUAUUUUGUAGUUCACCAAAACACCUUGAAACAACUUGAGUCUCACAUUCUUAUGCCACCAUACACCACCUCCAGCGCCCGCUCCAGCGCCUGCAUCGCCGCCUCAAGCGCCCGCUCCAGCGCCCGCAUCAGCGCCCGCUCCAGCGCCACCCUGUGCUGACCAUUGCUACGCCAUCCCUGCUUGUGGGCCACACUGUGCUGCCGAGACCAAUUUGACAACUAUCAGGCCCUGCAGACGAGACUGGACACAAGGAGGACAUCAUCCUGUCCAAGAGGAAUUGAUGAACUACGUCCUGGAUGAGCGUCGUCCCAGCAACGAGCUGCUAGUUAAAGACGGGCCAACCUGUUUAAUACGGGAAAAUGUUUUAACGCUUGGCAAAAACAAGCACAUGGACUCUAUGGUGGGUGACAUAUUGGUGUAAAAGUUACAGACUGACUAGCUGCCUGUAAGCAGGGUUUCUACGCGUCCUGGAAAACCUGGACAUUUAGAGAUUUGUUUUCCAGUCCUGGAAAAUGGUUUUUGAAAAAGAGUGGGAACCCUGCUGUAAGUAUUUCUUUUUUAAAGGUACAACAUCUCUGGCCCGCCGAGUGUCAUUGUACUUGUAAAUGAAAAUUAAAGCUUUCUAUGGUGAUUAACUUGUCUAUUCUAGGUGGGAAACGCUUGUUUGCACUUGGUCAAGGAGAUGGCCGAACAUCAAGGAAAAGAUGUAUUUCUUCUUGACCUCCACAUCCCCC